GACGUAGGGCGCGAGCGUUGUCCGGAUUAUUGGGCGGUAAAGAGCUCGUAGGCGGCUUGUCGCGUCGACUGUGAAAUCCCGACCGGCGUCAACUGCGGGUCUGCAGUCGAUACGGGCAGGGCUAGAGUUCGGUAGGGGAGACUGGAAUUCCUGGUGUAGCGGUGAAAUGCGCAGAUAUCAGGAAGAACACCGAUGGCGAAGGCAGCUCUCUGGGACGGUACUGGACGCUGAGACGCGAAAGCGUGGGGAGCGAACAGG
rnacentral:rRNA from 1 species